GUCGAGAAUAAUUCACAAUGGGGGAAACCCUGAUGGUGCAACGCCGCGUGGAGGAUGAAGGUCUUCGGAUUGUAAACUCCUGUCAUCUGGGAGUAAGACCUGACGGUGAAUAGCCGGCAGGGUUGAUAGUACCAGAAGAGGAAGGGACGGCUAACUUCGUGCCAGCAGCCGCGGUAAUACGAAGGUCCCAAGCGUUGUUCGGAAUCACUGGGCGUAAAGGGAGCGUAGGCGGCGUGGUAAGUCAGAUGUGAAAUCCCGGGGCUCAACCCCGGAACUGCAUCCGAUACUGCCAUGCUUGAGGGUUGGAGAGGUAGCUGGAAUUCUCGGUGUAGCAGUGAAAUGCGUGGAUAUCGAGAGGAACACUCGUGGCGAAGGCGAGCUACUGGACAACAUCUGACGCUGAGGCUCGAAGGCUAGGGGAGCAAAAGGGAUUAGAUACCCGUGUAGUCC
rnacentral:rRNA from 1 species